UAGGGAAUCUUCCGCAAUGGACGCAAGUCUGACGGAGCAACGCCGCGUGCGUGAAGAAGGAUUUCGGUUCGUAAAACUCUGUUGUUAGAGAAGAACAGCGCAUAGAGUAACUGUUAUGCGUGUGACGGUAUCUAACCAGAAAGCCACGGCUAACUACGUGCCAGCAGCCGCGGUAAUACGUAGGUGGCAAGCGUUGUCCGGAUUUAUUGGGCGUAAAGCGAGCGCAGGCGGUCAAUUAAGUCUGAUGUUAAAGCCCCCGGCUCAACCGGGGUGGGGCAUUGGAAACUGGUUGACUAGAGUGCAGAAGAGGAGAGUGGAAUUCCAUGUGUGGCGGUGAAAGGCGUAGAGAUAAGGUGGAACACCAGUGGCGAAGGCCACUCUCUGGUCUGUAACUGACGCUGAGGCUCGAAAGCGUGGGUAGCAAACAGG
rnacentral:rRNA from 1 species